rnacentral:rRNA from 1 species
UACGGGAGGCAGCAGUGGGGAAUAUUGCACAAUGGGCGAAAGCCUGAUGCAGCUAUGCCGCGUGUAUGAAGAAGGCCUUAGGGUUGUAAAGUACUUUUCAUCGGGGAGGAAAAAACAAAACUAAUAAUUUUAUUUCUUGACGUUACCCGAAAAAGAAGCACCGGCUAACUCCGUGCCAGCAGCCGCGGUAAUACGGAGGGUGCUAGCGUUAAUCAGAAUUACUGGGCGUAAAGAGCACGUAGGUGGUUUUUUUAAAGUCAGAUGUGAAAUCCCUGGGCUUAACCUAGGAACUGCAUUUUGAAACUGAAAUACUAGAGUAUCGUAGAGGGAGGUAGAAUUCUAGGUGUAGCGGUGAAAUGCGUAGAUAUCUGGAGGAAUACCUGUGGCGAAAGCGGCCUCCUAAACGAAUACUGACACUGAGGUGCGAAAGCGUGGGGAGCAAACAGGGAUUAGAUACC